UGGGGAAUUUUGGACAAUGGGCGAAAGCCUGAUCCAGCCAUGCCGCGUGAGUGAAGAAGGCCUUCGGGUUGUAAAGCUCUUUUAGUCGGAAAGAAAGAGUCGCAAUGAAUAAUUGUGAUUUAUGACGGUACCGACAGAAAAAGCACCGGCUAACUACGUGCCAGCAGCCGCGGUAAUACGUAGGGUGCGAGCGUUAAUCGGAAUUACUGGGCGUAAAGGGUGCGCAGGCGGUUUUGCAAGUCAGAUGUGAAAGCCCCGGGCUUAACCUGGGAAUUGCGUUUGAAACUACAAGACUAGAGUGCAGCAGAGGGGAGUGGAAUUCCAUGUGUAGCAGUGAAAUGCGUAGAGAUGUGGAAGAACACCGAUGGCGAAGGCAGCUCCCUGGGUUGACACUGACGCUCAUGCACGAAAGCGUGGGGAGCAAACA
rnacentral:rRNA from 1 species